rnacentral:misc_RNA from 1 species
UUGAUUCAUUUUUGUUUGUGAGACUCAGAAUAUGCCACUAAAUUAAACAAGAGUUUGGGUCCUCCGGCGGGCGCCUGGUUCCGGGCCGGUGAGGGCGCCGGGGCGGUCCCGCCGAAGCAACGUUAAGGUAUGUUCACAGGGGUUUGGGAGUUGAUAACUCGGUAAUGAUCCCUCCGCUGGUUCACCAACGGAGA